UAAACUCUGUUGUCAUCUGCCUCUGGAUCC
rnacentral:piRNA from 1 species